rnacentral:rRNA from 1 species
AGAGUUUGAUCAUGGCUCAGAUUGAACGCUGGCGGUAUGCUUAACACAUGCAAGUCGAACGGAAACGAAACUAGCUUGCUAGUUGGCGUCGAGUGGCGGACGGGUGAGUAACGCGUAGGAAUCUACCUAGUAGUGGGGGAUAGCCCGAAGAAAUUCGGAUUAAUACCGCAUAAUCUAUUCGUAGUAAAGUGGGGGACUUUCGAGCCUCACGCUAUUAGAUGAGCCUGCGUAAGAUUAGCUUGUUGGUAGGGUAAAAGCCUACCAAGGCUACGAUCUUUAGCUGGUCUGAGAGGAUGAUCAGCCACAUCGGGACUGAGACACGGCCCGAACUCCUACGGGAGGCAGCAGUGGGGAAUAUUGGACAAUGGGGGCAACCCUGAUCCAGCAAUACCGCGUGUGUGAAGAAGGCCUGAGGGUUGUAAAGCACUUUCAAUUGUGAAGAAAAGUUAACGGUUAAUAACCGUUAGCCUUGACGUUAACUUUAGAAGAAGCACCGGCUAACUCCGUGCCAGCAGCCGCGGUAAUACGGAGGGUGCAAGCGUUAAUCGGAAUUACUGGGCGUAAAGCGUGCGUAGGCGGUUUAUUAAGUCAGAUGUGAAAGCCCCGGGCUUAACCUGGGAACUGCAUUUGAAACUGGUCAACUAGAGUAUGGUAGAGGAAAGUGGAAUUUCUGGUGUAGCGGUGAAAUGCGUAGAUAUCAGAAGGAACAUCAAUGGCGAAGGCAGCUUUCUGGACCAAUACUGACGCUGAGGUACGAAAGCGUGGGUAGCAAACAGGAUU